AUGGAGGUGGUGACGGCCUUGACCAAUGUUGAGGUUCCUGCGACUGGGACUGUGGCUGAGGCUACCGACAGGUCUGAUGCUGAGAGGGUGUCCAACUGGUUCGAGGGUGCUGGCGGAUCCUUGGCUGGACGCUUGGUGAGGGCAUCGUCGGCGAGGACUUUGGAUGGAGUUGGGGAGGUGGAGCUGGUGGUUGCUUCUAUUUCCCUUACUUCACAUGUGGUCGAGGCUCCGGAGAUGAUGACUGCGUCCGAGGUGGGGCUUGGGGGAGGGGGUUCAGGGCAGACCGCGUCUCCUACGACGACGGCGUUCCACUCUGCGCCGAGGGGUGGGGCGGGAGGAGGGCUCGGGCAGGUGGCCCCCGCCAUCCUCUCUCCUGACGUGCCCGUGGCCCUGGGCCUCGUUGUGGGGCACUUGUCCGAGGGGCAUGGGAGCCCGCAGCCGCCUCCUCCGGUAACCUUGGUUGACCCUUUGCGGGAUUCAGCGCGAGGCUUUACUAGGGAGGAGGUCGUUGCUUUUGGCGGGAUCCCUGACCCGGUCUCGACGGAGAGAUGGAUGAGUGCUCGCAUUCAGGAGCUUCCGGAGGUUGAUGACAUGCAGCAGAGGUGCGCUAUGAGGGCGGCCAAGCUUCAUGAUGCUGAGAUCUCUACUGGUUAUUUUCUGAGCCACGGCAGUGAUCCGUUCGUGGUCGCUACUCACUCCGAUGGAGGCCAGGGAGCAUUUGGUUACUGGAUCUAUCCGCUGGGAGACGGUAGCUCGGACUAG
rnacentral:rRNA from 1 species